UCGAGAAUCUUUCACAAUGGGCGAAAGCCUGAUGGAGCGACGCCGCGUGGAGGAUGAAGGCCUUCGGGUUGUAAACUCCUGUCAUGAGGGAACAAGAAAGUGAUAGUACCUCAAGAGGAAGAGACGGCUAACUCUGUGCCAGCAGCCGCGGUAAUACAGAGGUCUCAAGCGUUGUUCGGAUUUACUGGGCGUAAAGGGUGCGUAGGCGGUGGCGUAAGUCGAGUGUGAAAUCUUCCGGCCUAACCGGAAAACUGCACUCGAUACUGCGUCACUAGAGGACUGUAGAGGAGACUGGAAUUCACGGUGUAGCAGUGAAAUGCGUAGAUAUCGUGAGGAAGACCGGUGGCGAAAGCGAGUCUCUGGGCAGUUCCUGACGCUGAGGCACGAAGGCUAGGGGAGCAAACGGGAUUAGAUACCCACGUAGUCCCUGAGCGGGCUGGCAAGGCGCAU
rnacentral:rRNA from 1 species